rnacentral:lncRNA from 1 species
CCUUAAAAAAACUAAAAUAAGUAGUUUUAAACUUUUUCGGUCGAUAUAGGGUUCCGGCACGGCACCGUUGUCGUGCUCUGGCGCCAGCUCCGCCAUGCUCUGGCACCGGCGUGCUCCAGCGCCAGCUUCGUCUCCCAUGGCAACAUUUCCUCUCGGCCUGGCUGUUUUUGGUCAAUUUCUAUCAAUUUUACAUGGAAACCUGCAAAAAAUAGUGUUAGAGAGCCUCUAUCGAUCAGAAAAUGGGAAAAUCGAGACCCUACCAGCGGGGGGGUUCUUUGGUGCGGCGGCUCUAUCGUUCCU